rnacentral:rRNA from 2 species
UGGAGGCAACGUUGGGAUACCACCCUGAUCGUAUCUAGGUUCUAACCUGGUACCGUAAUCCGGUGCGGGGACAGUGUCAGGUGGGCAGUUUGACUGGGGCGGUCGCCUCCUAAAGAGUAACGGAGGCGCCCAAAGGUUCCCUCAGAAUGGUUGGAAAUCAUUCGAAGAGUGCAAAGGCAUAAGGGAGCUUGACUGCGAGACCUACAAGUCGAGCAGGGACGAAAGUCGGGCUUAGUGAUCCGGUGGUACCGCAUGGAAGGGCCAUCGCUCAACGGAUAAAAGCUACCCUGGGGAUAACAGGCUUAUCUCCCCCAAGAGUCCACAUCGACGGGGAGGUUUGGCACCUCGAUGUCGGCUCAUCGCAUCCUGGGGCUGAAGUAGGUCCCAAGGGUUGGGCUGUUCGCCCAUUAAAGCGGUACGCGAGCUGGGUUCAGAACGUCGUGAGACAGUUCGGUCCCUAUCUGUCGUGGGCGUAGGAAAUUUGAGAGGAGCUGUCCUUAGUACGAGAGGACCGGGAUGGACGUACCGCUGGUGUACCAGUUGUUCCGCCAGGAGCACCGCUGGGUAGCUAUGUACGGACGGGAUAAACGCUGAAAGCAUCUAAGCGUGAAGCCCCCCUCAAGAUGAGAUUUCCCAGUAUGUAAGACCCCUUGAAGACGACGAGGUAGAUAGGCUGGGGGUGGAAGUGCAGCAAUGCAUGGAGCUGACCAGUACUAAUCGGUCGAGGGCUUAUCCAA